rnacentral:rRNA from 1 species
AUGGCUGACACGGCCUCCGCCCCGCUCCUAACAAGCCACAAAACAAGGCCGGCCAAGGCGCCGUCGAUCGAUGACACCAUCGAGACGUACAUGGGCGCCACCGGCGCCCUGCAGCUCCUCAAGGCCGUCUUGCUGGCCUUCGCGUGGGCCUUCGACGCGCAGCAGGUGUUCAUCUCGGUGUUCACCGACGCCGAGCCGCAGUGGCACUGCACCGGCGCCGACGCGUCCUGCUCGGCCGCCGCGGCCUCUCCGUGCGCGCUCCCGUCCGGCGCGUGGGCGUGGGACCGCCCUGCCGUGACGUCGGUGGUCUCGGAGUGGUCACUCAAGUGCGCCGGCCCGGCGCUCGUGUCCCUCCCGGCGUCCUCGUUCUUUGCCGGCUGCCUCGCCGGCGGCUUCCUCCUCACAACGCUCGCCGACUCGCUCCUGGGCCGCAGGAAGAUGCUGCUCGUGUCCAUUGUGUCCAUGUCCGUCGCUGGCGUGCUCACCGCGUUCUCGCCGAACGUGUGGGUGUACGCCGCCCUGCGUUUCAUGUCCGGGUUCGGCAGGUCUAUGGUUGGCACGUGCACGCUGGUCCUCUCCACGGAGCUCGUCGGCAAGAGGUGGCGCGACACGGUGUGCGUGGCGGGGUUCUUCUGCUUCACCCUCGGGUUCCUGUCGCUCCCGGCGCUCGCCUACACGUUCCGGGAGGAAUCGUGGCGGAACAUGUACCUGUGGACCUCCGUGCCUUCCCUCUGCUACUCCAUCCUAUUCUACUUCCUCGUCCAGGAGUCGCCGCGGUGGCUUCUGGUGCGCGGCCGCAAGCAGGACGCCAUCGAGACGCUGCAGCAGAUCGCCUCGCUCAACGGCAACAGCAUCACGUCCAGCUUCUCCAUGCUACACGCCUGCACCAUGAACAAUGACACGGCGGAGGAGAGCAGCGGCGACAGCGUGUUCGCCACGCUGCACUCCAUGUGGGAGCGCCCGUGGGCGCUCCGGAGGCUGGCGGCGAUCAUGACGGCCAGCUUCGGCGUCGGCAUGGUCUACUACGGCAUGCCGCUUAACGUCGGCAACCUGGGAUCCAACCUCUACCUGAGCGUCACGUACAACGCGCUGGCCGAGCUGCCGUCGUCCAUCCUCUCGUGGCUCCUGAUGGGCAGGAUCAACCGCCGGAGCUCGGUGAUCGCGCUCACCGGGGCGGCGGGGAUGUGGAGCCUCGCGUGCGUCAUCAUCCCGCAGGGCGCGGCGCGGAUGGCCGCCGAGCUGCUCUCCUUCUUCGCGACGUGCACGGCGUUCAACGUCAUCAUGAUGUACUCCAUCGAGCUGUUCCCGACGUCCGUGCGCAACUCGGCGGUGGGGCUGGUAAGGCAGGCGCUGGUGCUGGGAGGCGUGGCGGCGCCCGUGCUCGUCGCGCUGGGCCGCGAGAGGAGCUUCUUGUCGUUCGGCGUGUUCGGGCUCGUCGUCGGCUGCUUCGGCAUGUUCGCUGCCUGCCUGCCGGAGACGCGGGGGAAGGGCAUGUCGGACACCAUGGACGAGGAGGAGCACAAGGAGGCGGCGGUGGCCGCUUGCACCGUCGACGAUGCGGACUGUAACAGCGACCUCGUGUAA